CGAGGAAUCUUGGGCAAUGGGCGAAAGCCUGACCCAGCGACGCCGCGUGAGGGAUGAAGGCCUUCGGGUCGUAAACCUCUUUUGUGAGGGAAGAAGUUCUGACGGUACCUCACGAAUAAGCCACGGCUAACUACGUGCCAGCAGCCGCGGUAAUACGUAGGUGGCAAGCGUUGUCCGGAUUUACUGGGCGUAAAGGGCUUGUAGGCGGUCCGUUUAGUCCGGUGUGAAAUCUCCCGGCUCAACCGGGAGGGGUCAUCGGAUACUGGCGGACUCGAGGUGGGCAGAGGAAAGCAGAAUUCCCGGUGUAGCGGUGAAAUGCGUAGAUAUCGGGAGGAAUACCAGUGGCGAAGGCGGCUUUCUGGGCCUAUCCUGACGCUGAGGAGCGAAAGCGUGGGGAGCAAACCGGAUUAGAUACCCCCGUAGUCC
rnacentral:rRNA from 1 species